GGAUCUUGCGACAAUGGGCGAAAGCCUGACGCAGCAACGCCGCGUGCGGGAUGACGGCCUUCGGGUUGUAAACCGCUUUUCGGGGGGAAGAGGAAGGACGGUACCCCCGGAAUAAGUCUCGGCUAACUACGUGCCAGCAGCCGCGGUAAAACGUAGGAGGCGAGCGUUAUCCGGAUUUACUGGGUGUAAAGCGCGUGUAGGCGGUCGUGCAAGUGAGGCGUGAAAGCGCCCGGCUCAACCGGGCGAGGACGCAAUCGAACUGCGCGACUAGAGGUAGGUAGAGGCGUGUGGAAUUCCGGGUGUAGUGGUGAAAUGCGUAGAGAUCCGGAGGAACACCAGUGGCGAAGGCGACACGCUGGGCCUGACCUGACGCUGAGAUGCGAAAGCAUGGGGAGCGAACGG
rnacentral:rRNA from 1 species